rnacentral:rRNA from 1 species
CGCUAUCACUCCUACGGGAGGCAGCAGUGGGAAUCUUGGACAAUGGGCGCAAGCCUGAUCCAGCCAUGCCGCGUGAGUGAUGAAGGCCUUAGGGUCGUAAAGCUCUUUCGCCAGGGAUGAUAAUGACAGUACCUGGUAAAGAAACCCCGGCUAACUCCGUGCCAGCAGCCGCGGUAAUACGGAGGGGUUAGCGUUGUUCGGAAUUACUGGGCGUAAAGCGCGCGUAGGCGGAUUAGUCAGUCAGAGGUGAAAUCCCAGGGCUCAACCCUGGAACUGCCUUUGAUACUGCUAGUCUUGAGUUCGAGAGAGGUGAGUGGAAUUCCGAGUGUAGAGGUGAAAUUCGUAGAUAUUCGGAGGAACACCAGUGGCGAAGGCGGCUCACUGGCUCGAUACUGACGCUGAGGUGCGAAAGUGUGGGGAGCAAACAGGAUUAGAUACCCUGGUAG